AAUCAGUCGAACCACAUAACUCUAAAAUGGCGAAGCCACAAGGAAAGUCUUUUUGUGUGCUGCAGUUUGAGAAAUGCGAAUCGAUUGUGCAAGUGCAACGUGAUUUUCGCCACCAAUUCAAUAAAAAUCCACCUCGUCACAAACAAAUUUACG